AGCCCCUUUGGCUCUAACAAAAGCUUAAAACAAAUGAGGCCUUUGCCUUUACCACUCCAAGACAGCCCUUUCCAGCAUCUUCCAAGCAGGCCCAAAAUAUAAAAAGAAACUAACUUUUUCCUCCUGUGCAAAAGAGAGUAUAAGAGGGCGAUCUACUUUAAGUAAUACUGUCUCCUUUCCUCGCCUCAGCUUCAACGUCGUGCUUUGAUUUUUCCUCCCGGGAUGCUUACUCUCAACAUCCCCCCCCCCCCAGAUGCCCCACCACUGAGCAGCGAGUGUCAGCAUCGCAGCUGUAGAGGGAAAGGGCUCAGACCCGGGAGAUGCGGUGCAGCAGCACAGCGUUGCCCCCUUUGAUGUCCUUCUCGCUCCCCACUGUCCAGCGUGACGCCAGGUUUGCUCCAGGGGUGACGCUCGCCCCACGCGGAGGGGCCCGCACAAGUCCACAGAACAUGAGCUGCUACUUAAAAUUUCUGGCACUGUGUAAGGACUCCAGCUCUUCCCUGUGGCACUACAAGACACCACUCAUGUUGGAUGGACAGAAGAUCACUGGAUUUAUUUCUGCCUCUAACUUAAAUAUGGAAUUUUAAUGGGAAGGUCUUAAGACCUGUCAGGGCAACGAGAUAUACAACUCUAGAACUUCAUCUGGAGAGCUAUAAGAAGGUUUAGAUACAUUUAUACGUAUGACCCUGCUUCUUAUUUCACAGAAGUUUUCCCUCACAUAAAUUCAAUGAGCUUUCAAUGUGUUCAGUGGAGCUGUUCCUUUUUACACUGGACUGAGAUCAGAAUAGGGCCUUUUAUAAAUGGUAUGUCAAGAAACAUGUUUAAGUCAAAUGUAAGCCUUUAAAGUAAAGGUUCUGCUUUUGGUUUACAUAAUGAUAUACUAUAGAGAAUAUCUUUCCUAUUUUAUAUUCUUUCCCUUCUUCUCAUACCACCCAUGACUCUUCUCUUUAUGUACUACUUUAGAUCUUUUCUUCUUGCUGUUCCUAGUAGAAACCACAUUUCACUUGUGCCCUUGAAAUAGCAUAUCAAUAUGUUCAAACUUCCCACUUUUUGACUGGAAAAGCAUUCAGAAUUUCUGGUGGGACUUUUCAGUUGGCCAAAUGGCUGAACAGCUCACAUUAACUUCUGUAGAGUGAUAAGUGGAAGAACCAGCACUGGAUCCAUCCAUGUCUGCUCAGCAGGGAUCUCAGCAUAAGAAAUCACUAUUUUUUACCCUAAGUUGUUCCAGGGAAUUCAGAUACCUACGUAUGGGUGUUAAAUCAGAUGACCACAUGCCAACCAAUACCAUUCCUUUCACUGAGUAAUAAACAGAUCAGUUAAAAAAAAAGAUGUUUGGUCGCCAGUUUAACUUCACCAAAAUGGGAGCACAAACAAUUAGAGUCUCAGUGUGAUGCUGGAUAUCUAUCAUUUGGGCCUUCUUCAAACCUUCAGGUUUUAAUCUACCAUGCAUAACAGAAAUGCUGACAUAUCACUGUUUUGUGUACAACUGCUCAGAACUAAAAAUUACUGCUUGAUCAGUCAAGAGCAUUCAGUAUCUGAGCAAUAUUCAUCUAUAUCAGUUCUUUCAGUA